CAAAAGAGUGGGAAGAGCUUUGAGUAGAGGUGACAAACCUACCGAGCCCAGUUAUAGCUGGUUGCCUGAGAAAUGAAUAGGAGUUCAGCCCUUUAAUCUUUCCCCCCUCACCUAUGCUUACGCUAAAAUUGAUUAAGGAAGACAAAGGUGUUAAUUAAAAGGGGUACAGCCCUUUUGAUAGAAGAAACAACUUUAACAGGUGACCCAAGAUCAUAUUGCCCAAGGAUUUCAAAUUAAGUGGGCCUAAAAGCAGCCAUCUUAGCAGAAAGCGUUAAAGCUCAAAUUAGUCAACAUCCUCAUAUACUGAUAUUACAUCUCCCUCCCUGCCCCUUACCAGGCUGUCUUAUGCCUUCAUAAGAACAAUUAUGCUAAAAUGAGUAAUAAGAAGAAUUUAAUUCUUCUCCCAGCACAUGUGUAAGUCGGAACGGACCUCCCACCGACUAUUAACCGACCCCAAACCCAGAGGGAAAUAAGUUAAAGAAACAAGAAAAACACUUAUUUUUUAUCGUUAACCCCACACAGGCGUGCUCAAAGGAAAGACUAAAAGAGAAGGAAGGAACUCGGCAAACACAAGCCUCGCCUGUUUACCAAAAACAUCGCCUCUUGCCCCAAAAAUAUAAGAGGUCCCGCCUGCCCUGUGACUAUAAGUUUAACGGCCGCGGUAUUUUAACCGUGCGAAGGUAGCGUAAUCACUUGUCUUUUAAAUGAAGACCUGUAUGAAUGGCAUCACGAGGGCUUAGCUGUCUCCCAUCUCCAGUCAAUGAAAUUGACCUCCCCGUGCAGAGGCGGGGAUAACUACAUAAGACGAGAAGACCCUAUGGAGCUUUAGACCUAAAGUAAGUCACGUUUAACAUGCUACGAUAAUAGUAAAAACUUAGUGAUAAUUACUGAAGUGUCUUUGGUUGGGGCGACCGCGGGGUAAAACACAACCCCCAUGUGGACCGGGGAUAUUAUCCCUAAUACUCAGAGCCUCUACUCCAAGUAACAGAAAUUCUGACUUUUCUGAUCCGGUAUAACCGAUCAACGAACCGAGUUACCCUAGGGAUAACAGCGCAAUCCCCUCUCAGAGCCCAUAUCGACGAGGGGGUUU
rnacentral:rRNA from 1 species